UGGGGAAUAUUGCACAAUGGGGGAAACCCUGAUGCAGCGACGCCGCGUGAGCGAAGAAGGUUUUCGAAUCGUAAAGCUCUGUCCUAUGGGAAGAUAAUGACGGUACCAUAGGAGGAAGCCCCGGCUAACUACGUGCCAGCAGCCGCGGUAAUACGUAGGGGGCAAGCGUUAUCCGGAAUCACUGGGCGUAAAGGGUUCGCAGGCGGAAAUGCAAGUCAGUUGUGAAAGGCAGAGGCUCAACCUCUGUAAGCAAUUGAAACUGUAUUUCUUGAGAUGUGGAGAGGCAAGUGGAAUUCCUAGUGUAGCGGUGAAAUGCGUAGAUAUUAGGAAGAAUAACGGUGGCGAAGGCGACUUGCUGGACACAAACUGACGCUGAGGAACGAAAGCGUGGGUAGCAAACAGG
rnacentral:rRNA from 1 species